rnacentral:rRNA from 1 species
GCUAAACGCGAAGAACCUUACCUAGGCUUGACAUAUAGAUGACGAUAUCAGAGAUGAUAUUUCUCUUCGGAGCGUCUAUACAGGUGCUGCAUGGCUGUCGUCAGCUCGUGCCGUGAGGUGUUGGGUUAAGUCCCGCAACGAGCGCAACCCUUGCCAUUAGUUGCUACGAAAGGGCACUCUAAUGGGACUGCCGGUGACAAACCGGAGGAAGGUGGGGAUGACGUCAAGUCCUCAUGGCUCUUACGGGUUGGGCUACACACGUGCUACAAUGGUGGUGACAGAGGGCACCGACCUCGCGAGAGGAAGGAAAUCCUUAAAAGCCAUCCCAGUUCGGAUUGUACUCUGCAACUCGAGUACAUGAAGUCGGAAUCGCUAGUAAUCGCAGAUCAGAAUGCUGCGGUGAAUACGUUCCCGGGUCUUGUACACACCG